AUAACAAAACAUGAGAUAUAACUUGUAGUGAUUAGAUGAAUGAUAGUAUA
rnacentral:guide_RNA from 1 species